AACCAGGCCAAUCAACGUGCUGGCCCGAGCCCGGUCCGGGCCCACAGUCAAAAGUUCGAGCCCAUCCCAGGCCUGGGCUUUCGGCUCAGCAAAGUCUGCGGAUCUGGUUAUGCUUCCUGUACGAGACAGAUCACGAAGCGGUUGCUGACUGACCAGUUGGGGCGAAAAUUUUUGUGGGAGGGACGUAAGAGAAAGUUGACAUUCAGGAACCUUCACCUUGCUGAGUGCACCAUAAAUGCAGUGCAGAGCUGCCAUAAAUGUGAAGACUUCAAGGUAGAAACCAUGGUCACGGAUUAACUUCGCCACGCACCUGCCUGACAUCAGUCAUCUCAAAUGGAACAUUCUGCACCACAGGAGAGAGAGAUGUGAACUGCCUUAAGUGGGCCUUCAUUGCGCUGAGCGUUUUAUUAUGUUUAUCAGACAUUCUUUUUAAGCAAAGUAUCCUGCAUUGUUCAGUAAGUAUACUUUAUUUUGAAAACCUCAUGCUGUCUAUGCAGCAUUGUUCAAAAAUUAUACUUUAUUUUAAAAGCAUCAAGCACUGCUCGUCUGUCUAACAGUAACAAUAAAGAGUUAAUGGUGA